rnacentral:rRNA from 1 species
UAAAACCUGACGUUGAGGACGAAAGUAUAGGGAGCAAACAGGAUUAGAUACCUGGUAGUCUAUACAGUAAAUUCUGAGUGCUGUAAUUUAAGUAAUUGUUUUAGUUAGAUUCAUUAAGCUAACGCUAUAAGCACUCCGCUGAGGAGUAUGAUCGCAAGGUUGGAACUCAAAGGAAUUGACGGGGGCCUACAACUAGUGGUGGAGUAUGUGGUUUAAUGCGAUAAUCCGCGCAAAACCUUACCAAUUUUUGAAUAUAAUUUAAAAAUAAAACUAGCGUUUAUGCUAGUUUUAUUAAAUAAUUUUACAGGUGUUGCACGACUGUCGUCAGUUCGUGUCGUGAGAUGUUUGGUUAAUUCCUUUAACGAGCGCAACUCUUGUCUUUAAUGAGUUAUAGAUUUUUAAUUAAAAUAAUUAUAAAUGAUAUUGCAAAUGAUAAAUUUGAGGAAGGUGAGAAUUAAGUCAAGUCAAUGUGGCCCUUAUAUAUUGGGCUACACACAUGCUACAAUGAAAAUGACAAAAAGUAACAAAAACGUAAGUUUUAGUUAAUCUUUUAAAAAUUUUCUCAGUUCAGAUUGUAAUCUGCAACUCGGUUACAUGAAGGUGGAAUCACUAGUAAUCGCAAAUCAGCACGUUGCGGUGAAUAUGUUACUUGGCCUUGUACACACCGCCCGUCA